UACAGAGGUCUCAAGCGUUGUUCGGAUUCAUUGGGCGUAAAGGGUGCGUAGGCGGCUCGGUAAGUCCGCUGUGAAAGUCCAGGGCUCAACCCUGGAAUGCCGGUGGAAACUGUCGAGCUAGAGUCCGGAAGAGGCGAGUGGAAUUCCUGGUGUAGCGGUGAAAUGCGCAGAUAUCAGGAGGAACACCAAUGGCGAAGGCAGCUCGCUGGGACGGUACUGACGCUGAGACGCGAAAGCGUGGGGAGCAAACAGG
rnacentral:rRNA from 1 species